rnacentral:lncRNA from 1 species
AAAGUCUUUCAGAGGCCGGACGCUGGCACUGGACGGAGUAGGGAACCCUAGCCGUUAUCCCACCAAAGGGUCCCAGCGCCUAGAGGGGCUGCGGAAAGCUCCUACAAUACGAGGAGCCCUUGGAGCCCAGAGCGGGAUCCUGCGAGCCGAGGCCCCGUUCUCUGUUAGGAUCACGGGGACUGCCCCAGGCAGCUGCUGGGCCCGGUCGCGGACCUCGGCCAGAACAUCCUCCCAGAACACAGAGGAAUCUGACAUCAGUGGCCUCCCUUGGUAGAGGUGGGGAGCCGAGGGGCGGCAGUGUGGAAGGGCCAUCGGCCUAGGUCUUUCGUAUCCCCUCCGG